UACGUAGGGGGCAAGCGUUGUCCGGAAUCAUUGGGCGUAAAGCGCGCGUAGGCGGCCCGGUAAGUCCGCUGUGAAAGUCAAAGGCUCAACCUUUGAAAGCCGGUGGAUACUGCCGGGCUAGAGUCCGGAAGAGGCGAGUGGAAUUCCUGGUGUAGCGGUGGAAUGCGCAGAUAUCGGGAGGAACACCAAUGGCGAAGGCAGAUCUCUGGGCCGUAACUGACGCUGAGGAGCGAAAGCAUGGGGAGCGAACAGG
rnacentral:rRNA from 1 species